rnacentral:rRNA from 1 species
UACGUAGGGGGCAAGCGUUGUCCGGAAUCAUUGGGCGUAAAGCGCGUGUAGGCGGCCCGGUAAGUCCGCUGUGAAAGUCGGGGGGCUCAACCCUCGGAUGCCGGUGGAUACUGUCGGGCUAGAGUGCGGGAGAGGCGAGUGGAAUUCCUGGUGUAGCGGUGAAAUGCGCAGAUAUCAGGAGGAACACCAAUUGCGAAGGCAGCUCGCUGGAACGUUACUGACGCUGAGGAGCGAAAGCAUGGGGAGCGAACAGG